rnacentral:rRNA from 1 species
UACGGAGGGUGCAAGCGUUAUCCGGAUUCACUGGGUUUAAAGGGUGCGUAGGCGGGUAAGUAAGUCCGUGGUGAAAUCUCUGAGCUUAACUCAGAAACUGCCGUGGAUACUAUUUGCCUUGAAUAUUGUGGAGGUGAGCGGAAUAUGUCAUGUAGCGGUGAAAUGCUUAGAUAUUACUUAGAACACCAAUUGCGAAGGCAGGUUACUAUGUCUUAACUGACGCUGAUGGACGAAAGCGUGGGGAGCGAACAGG